rnacentral:lncRNA from 1 species
ACCUUUUAAAACACACAUGCAGUCAACAAACACUAUUCGGUAUUCUUAUCUGAUGAAUUAUAAUUGUGAGUGUCCACUUUGAAUGCAAUAGUAAAAUACUGUCAUUCCAGUUGACACUAAAAGACGUAAGAGGAUAGCCAGGAUAGAUUUCUCUACAAACAAUACCCUGAUUUCAAAGUCGAAGAUAUAUUUAAUACACCAAAAUGACAUUCGCCUCAUGCAAUGAUCUUAUAACAUACAUGUAUAUCAAAAAUUUACAUAAGUCCAAAAAAGUUGAAGAAUAGAUUAAGAUAUUUAUAAUGCAAUGAAAACAAUUUCAGUUCUCUCUUGAUUUUAAAGAGUAAGCAUAUUAAAAGCAAGAGAGAACUGGACAUUUUUAUGGUCCGUCAUAUGUGUUAGUUGCUUUAUUUUUUUAAUACUAUAAAACGAGGGGAGAAGUAUUACGCAAAAUUUUAAGGCAUUGUUGUUCAACAUUUCAGAUGAAUUUAGUUACUAGUAUCUAAUGUAUUGUCAUUCAGGAAAUGUAUGCUUUUAUUUAACAGUGUCACACUCAUGUAAGCCAUAAUGGACUGCAUAAAACAUACAAUUACAUGAAAACACAUUAUGCCAACAUAAGCC